GAAAUAGUUAAUUUGAUUAGUCAUGAAGAGGCCUGCUCUGAUGGACUGCAGCUAUUCCUGUGGAAAGCAGACUGAAGUUCCAUGUGCUCUGCGACUGAGACAGCAAAGGUCAUUCAAGUGCACAGAUGUGGGAUGUUCAGCAUACUGGCCAAAAAGAAAUUCCAAACUCCAGAAAACGUAGCACCAGGAUGGAAUACAUAUAACCACAUCACUAGAAGAAUGACUGUGAGUCUUUAAGGCAGUGCCUAUGGAAAAGAAUAAAAGGCCCAACAGGCGCCGGUAAGAACUGGAUUUUUGUUUCUGUGACACCAUUUGUUUUCUAUUAUGGAUAUUUGCGUCUUAGGUUAACAUUCCUCUGAGAUAAGACCUCAUACCUGAUAACAUUCAUCCCCAGGCCAGGCCACAGAUCUAUGUCCCUGGCACCAUACAACUAUUUCUGUCUGAAAUCCAAAGUACUCCCAAGAACCACAUCACUUUAUCUUUCUCUCUUUCCUUUUUCUUUCUUUCUUUCUUUUUCUUUUUCUUUCUUUUUUUUUUAAUAGAGAUCUGGUCAGAAAAAAAUUGCUAGGAAGAGAAAAAUGGAUCACGAUCCUAGAAAGAGACCCUGAGCACGUAUGAAAGACCAUAUGGUAAUGAUCAAAGUUGAGGAAAAACAAAAAGCUGCCUUCCACCUGCAAAACAGAAUUGUCUGAAGAUAGUGAAAUGGGAAUGCUUUGAAGAUAAGCCAUCAUGCACUGUGGGAAAAGGAGGCAAGAAGUGAAACCUGGUUUUGAGACAAUUUCCUAAGGUGCACUCUGUGAUUGGUGAGCGGGGGAGCCAGGUGCUGAUUAUUUUCUACUCUGUUCUAACAUGUAAAAGUCAGCAGAAGUGCUAAUUGCAUUUGUUACCUGCUUUUCCUCAUAACCUUCCUUCCUGUGGAUAGAAAGCAGACAGAGGAGAAACUGAACAUGAUCCCAGCUCUUUCUUUGGAAAAAAGUACUUCAGGUAGUCAGUCAUCCCCCCUUCAGGAUUCCUUUAUUGCCUUCAGUGGUCUUCUCCUGGUGCGCUUCAAGAAGAUAAAGGCUUAAGUUCAAACAUGGGCUCUGCAGUUUCUCCCUCUUAUGUUUCUCGAUCAGUCUGAAAUCUGAAGGCAGGCACUGAUGGAAAUUGAGGAUGCUAUUUUUGAGGUCACAGCAAGAGAAACUGAAGAGCUAAUUCCACUCUACAGACUUGCUCCGUAUGAAAGAUACUCCUACUUGGAAGAAUGCUGUUGCCUCUCUAUACUGAAGGGGCU
ensembl:lncRNA